rnacentral:rRNA from 1 species
GAUGAACGCUGGCGGCGUGCUUAACACAUGCAAGUCGAACGGAAAGGCCCAAGCUUGCUUGGGUACUCGAGUGGCGAACGGGUGAGUAACACGUGGGUGAUCUGCCCUUCACUUCGGGAUAAGCCUGGGAAACUGGGUCUAAUACCGGAUAGGACGAUGGUUUGGAUGCCAUUGUGGAAAGUUUUUUCGGUGUGGGAUGAGCUCGCGGCCUAUCAGCUUGUUGGUGGGGUAAUGGCCUACCAAGGCGUCGACGGGUAGCCGGCCUGAGAGGGUGUACGGCCACAUUGGGACUGAGAUACGGCCCAGACUCCUACGGGAGGCAGAAGUGGGGAAUAUUGCACAAUGGGCGCAAGCCUGAUGCAGCGACGCCGCGUGGGGGAUGACGGCCUUCGGGUUGUAAACUCCUCUCGCUAGGGACGAAGCGUUUUUGUGACGGUACCUGGAGAAGAAGCACCGGCUAACUACGUG